GCGGGUUUAGCUCAGUUGGGAGAGCGUCAGACUGAAGUCAAAACUUCGGGAUUAGUCAAUCUGAAGGUCGUGUGUUCGAUCCACACAAACCGCA